UUAAAAAUGUCUCAGCUUAGCUACAGUAAUAUUCCUAAGAAGUUGGCAUAUUUAGUCCUUUGUUUAUUUAUCUAUGCUCAUUUAUGUCUGGCCUUUCAUGUCUGUCAAAAUUGCCCCAAUUCUUUCUUGAAUUUACAAUUUGCUCCCUCAAGGCUUGUCUACAGUGAUUUUUAAGCCGAGGUAAUUUUUUGUGGCUUACUUUUAAGAUUUUAUCGGCUCUCCUUUUUUUUCACAGGCUUCUUUUUGGUUUACUGUUUCUUCAAUUUCUACCUGAUGAGCUGAGGCUAGAGUAGGCAUAGUCAUCAGCUUCUGACACCACCACGAUACGUGUCUUCUUUCUCUUUCUUUCACCGCCUCAUCUUCCAAUGCUGCCUAAUCAUCUUCCAUUCAACAACCGCUAAAAACACAGAAGAAGAUUGAGGUAGGGUGUUUUCAUUGUUGAUGAUCCGUUCCCGUUUCUAUCAGAAGCGUCGGCCUCCACAAAACCCUAACGCACCGAAGAACAACAAAGAGGCACGUCGGCCUAGGCAACGACGACGAGUGAAGACGGCAACCGGAGUUUAAUAUGUGCCUCAUCUUUCAUCGAACUAUAGCCUUCUAUUUUCGGCUCGAGUUGUUCCGACAGCACAUAAACGAUGAAUAGGGUCGAUUAGACUCGCGAUUUCUUCAUUUUUGCGUUUUGCUUUUGGGUUUCGUUUCCCCUUUAUUUAUUGCAGGUCUAAUUUCAUUUGGUGUCUUCUCUGGUAUACGGUGGUGGUUGUUGGCACGGGUGAAGGCGGAAGAGGUGCUAUUUGGUUUUUAAUGGUCUUAGUUUAAUCCAAGCAUAUGUUCUUCAAAGAAUCUGAACAAGACCAUAUGUAGCUUCCAAUGAAUUUGCUAUCCUAGAUGUCUUGCUGUCUAUAAGGUGAACAAAAUCAUAUCUUUCAUUGAAUUCUUUUCAAUCUUAGCCAUUUUUACUCAAUUUUCCUUGGUUUGAAGGAAAUUGUGGAAGCAAUUUUUGCAUAUCAGAUGUUACUGUUCCUUCAAAUCCAACAAAAGGUAUAAUGUAAGUGAUUGUAAAAUUAUAAUUAGAACAAGUGUAUUUUUGUAAUUCUCUUGUCUACUGAUUCUCUUUAAUAUUAAGUUCAGGAGCUACAAAUGCUUCUAGGGCAUUUCCACUUCAAUUUGGGUCAAUUACUCCUGGUAUCAUGAAUGUAGUGCAGGUAAAUGUUUAUUGUGAUAGAGAUUUUGUAACUAGAACAAGGGUAUUUUUGUAAUUUUCUCUUUUGGUGUUUGUAAAUAAUUUCUUUUAAUAAGUACCAACAGCAUCAAUCCCAACACAACUUAAAUGAAUUUCUUUUCCUGCUCUAAUUUUAGUAUGGCUUCCUCCAUCAAGGAGUGGAAUGGAAAAUCUAAUUUUCAUGUUAAUUUUGUGUAGUUUCUCAUCAACUAAUACCUAUUUUUUUAUAGUUAUAAGAAGAAGAGAAGCUCUCAACUUGCAACGACCUGAGGACAUAAAAAUGUUGCAGAAAGUGGUUCAUCUUCAGCAUACAUGGUUUCUAAACGUAAUAAUGGAAGCAGCAAAAACUAUAUGUUUGCACACUUAAAGAAGUUUUUUCUUGGGAAUUUUCCAGAGUUGUAGACACCUUGCCACAUGGCAUAUACCCUAUUCCGAACAAUACCCUUCAGAUGUUUGGAUUAAAAAGCCUCCGUGAUGCAUAAAUUGGGAUUCAUCACCCAUCAUGGAAUAUACAUUGUUUUAUCAACAUUUUUUACUAUCAUUUGUGUUUUAUGUUGUCUUGAAAAUCAGUACCAUAAGAUAAAUAGGAAAACUGUUAAUUUUUACCAUUUUUAGUUAGAUCAAGAGAUUUUAAAUAAUGAAAAUAGACCAGAAGUAUCUCAAUGAUAUCUUAUUUUGAGUUUUCAGGAAUGUUGAAUUCGUUAGAAGUUAGAAUGAUGAUAGUCUCUACUUUUAGUUAUUUUCUACAGCACAAUGUCAUUUUUUAUUUUUAUUUUUUCUGUUUAGACUUUCUACUGAGCUUGAUUACUUUUGUGUCCUUAUGUUGUAAUUAUUAAACAAUUUGUAUUAAACAUGUUUUUUUUAUUGUCAGAUCAGUUUUGUGUAUUUGAAUGGAAUAUUUUAGUGAUUCUCACACAGAUUGUAUCUGGAUAGGAAGAGAUUCGGUAUUGUAAGUACAAAUGGUGGAAGUGGGUGGGAUGGUGGAGGAGGAAAAUAAUCAACAAGAAGCUCAUCAAAUCUUAGUCGUUCUCUUUUAAAUAUCCUAUGUAUGCUUUUGUUAUGCAAACUAUUUUUCACUAGGUACCGAUUUUUUUAAUAGGAACGAUCAUUUUCUGCAUAUUCUUG